UUGGAUUAAGAAAAAAAAAAUGAUUGGAAAACAAAAGCUCCUCAUUACUAACCCCUGAGAAACUCAUCAUCAAAAUUCUCAUAUUAGUGUGUAGGUAGCAAUGUCCUUUCAUUGUCUCUGUGAUCACAAAAUGUAACCUCCUAAUUUAUUACAUUAAUUUCAUAACCCCAUAUUUAUUUCAUUACUCCCACCAUGAGUGUGUAAGUUUGAUGAAUGAAAUGUAACUUCCAUUAACUUGCAAUAAUGAUUGUAGUGAUGGAGUCUAACCACCAAGGCAGCCAAAGGUAUUUGCCCG
rnacentral:lncRNA from 1 species